rnacentral:rRNA from 1 species
UGACGAGUUUGAUCCUGGCUCAGAUUGAACGCUGGCGGAAUGCUUUACACAUGCAAGUCGAACGGUAGAGGGGGCAACCCCUCGAGAGUGGCGAACGGGUGAGUAAUAUAUCGGAACGUGCCCAGUCGUGGGGGAUAACGUAGCGAAAGUUACGCUAAUACCGCAUACGAUCUACGAGUAGUAAGAACGGGGACGGUACGCGAACGAAGCCCUCGCGCGAUUGGAGCGGCCGAUAUCAGAUUAGGUAGUUGGUGGGGUAAAGGCCUACCAAGGCUCCGAUCUGUAGCUGGUCUGAGAGGACGACCAGCCACACUGGAACUGAGACACGGUCCAGA